UACAGAGGUCCCAAGCGUUAUCCGGAUUCACUGGGUUUAAAGGGUGCGUAGGCGGGCUUGUAAGUCAGUGGUGAAAGCCCGGGGCUUAACUCCGGAACUGCCAUUGAUACUGCAAGUCUUGAGUACGGUUGAGGUGGGCGGAAUACAUCAUGUAGUGGUGAAAUACUUAGAUAUGAUGUAGAACACCGAUUGCGAAGGCAGCUCACUAAAGCGUAACUGACGCUGAGGCACGAAAGCAUGGGGAUCAAACAGG
rnacentral:rRNA from 1 species